rnacentral:rRNA from 1 species
GUGCCAGCCGCCGCGGUAAUACGAAGGGGGCUAGCGUUGUUCGGAUUUACUGGGCGUAAAGCGCACGUAGGCGGUUUGUUAAGUGAGAGGUGAAAUCCCAGAGCUCAACUCUGGAACUGCCUUUCAUACUGGCAAGCUAGAGUCCGGAAGAGGUAAGUGGAACUCCUAGUGUAGAGGUGGAAUUCGUAGAUAUUAGGAAGAACACCAGUGGCGAAGGCGGCUUACUGGUCCGGAACUGACGCUGAGGUGCGAAAGCGUGGGGAGCAAACAGGAUUAGAUACCCGAGUAGUCC